CGUUAGCGGCUGACGGGUGAGUAACACGUGGGUAACCUACCUAUAAGACUGGGAUAACUUCGGGAAACCGGAGCUAAUACCGGAUAAUAUUUCGAACCGCAUGGUUCGAUAGUGAAAGAUGGUUUUGCUAUCACUUAUAGAUGGACCUGCGCCGUAUUAGCUAGUUGGUAAGGUAACGGCUUACCAAGGCGACGAUACGUAGCCGACCUGAGAGGGUGAUCGGCCACACUGGAACUGAUACACGGUCCAGACUCCUACGGGAGGCAGCAGGU
rnacentral:rRNA from 1 species